ensembl:misc_RNA Y_RNA Y RNA
GGCUGGUGCGAAGAUAGUGAGUUAUUGCGAUUGUUUGGUUACAGAUCAAAUGCCUUGUUCUACUUUAUUCCCCCUUACUACUGCACUUGACUAGUCUAAA